UACGUAGGGGGCGAGCGUUGUCCGGAAUCAUUGGGCGUAAAGAGCUCGUAGGCGGUUCAGUAAGUCAGGUGUGAAAGCUCCGAGCUCAACUCGGAGAGGCCACCUGAUACUGCUGUGACUAGAAUCCAGUAGGGGAGUGUGGAACUCCUGGUGUAGCGGUGAAAUGCGCAGAUAUCAGGAAGAACACCAGCGGCGAAGGCGGCACUCUGGGCUGGAAUUGACGCUGAGGAGCGAAAAGUGUGGGUAGCAAAACAGG
rnacentral:rRNA from 1 species